rnacentral:lncRNA from 1 species
CAUCAAUUUCUAUGCUAGGUUUGAAGCUUUUGUCACUCUAGUCUGCCAAUACAUAGUCCUAUCAACAUACAACUAACCCUAUGGUGUGAUCCACGCGCGCGGUCAUAUGAUGGGCACCAAAGGACAGAAACAUAACCACAAGCAAAUUUAACCAAUCAUAACAAUUCAUCAAUCACCGAUAUGACAACGAUAAUCUACUUAGACAUCAUAGGAUAGCAACACAUCAUUGGAUAAUAAUAUGUAGCAUAAAGCACCAUGUUCAAGUAGAGGGUACAGCGGGUUGCGGGAGAGUGAACCGCUGAAUAUAUAUGGGGGAAGAUGAUGGAGAUGUUGGUGAAGAUGACGGAGGUGUUGGUGUAGAUCGCCGUCACACGAUGAUUUCCCGGGCGGCGUUCCGGCGCCACUCGGAGAGAGGGGAGAGAGCCCCUCUCCUUCUUCUUUUUCCUUGACCUCCUCCCUAGAUAGGAGAAAGGUUUCCCCUCUGGUCCAUGGUCUCUCUG